GGUUGUGGCUCAGUGGUAGAGCUUGCCUAGCAUGUGGGAGGCACUGGGUUCGAUCCUCAGCACCA
rnacentral:tRNA from 1 species